rnacentral:ncRNA from 1 species
CUAAAAAUGAUGACAGGAACUAGUAGCUAUUCUUCUUUUUCUAGAGAGUCGAUGGUUGGUGCGAAUCGAUAAAAGGAGCUAGUGAAUCCAUCCUUGAGUGAGGCACUGAACUAUAUAGUAGGUGCUUUCGGUUCACAGCCGUUAUGAAAUGUAAGUGGAAAGGGUAACCUUUCAACUAGGGUGGCAACGCGGGUUAACUCUCGUCCCUUCU